GGUUUCAGAGUUAUAUUUCGGAUUUUACAAGUUUGAUGGUGAUGAUGCUUGAUUAAGUAAGACUUGAUGUUUAUGCUAUGUAGUUGAUUAGUUGUAGUGAUUAUGGAUGAAAAUUGAUUUGAUUAUGAUGAGUGUGAGAGUUGUUCUUAGUUAGGGUUCAUGAGCUAAUUUAAGGAUUUUUAUUAAUUUGUUUUGUGAUGUGUUUACAAGCUUCCAUGGAAGGUUUUUGAUGAUGAAUUUGGGCAUGGAACCUUCGGCCAAGAGACAAUCAUCAAGACUCGAAGGAGCGACUAUCGAUAAGGCUCGAGGAAAACGGAUCGAGAUAUUGUCAAGCUUAUUUGAAGAAUUUGGAUAGCAAGUGGGAUAGAAUGAUAUUAUUUGGAAAGUCAAGCUUCCGAAGUUUUAAUUCUCGGAAGUCAUUUGCACAAGCAGUGAAAGAAGGUUUUCAUUCUAGCAGUCCGCAGUAGUCUAGAUGUUUUUGUCUAUGUAUUUGACUAGCGCAUUUUAACUCUGAUAUUUUUGUAAAAUGGGGUCACAUGUAUUUUGAUAUAUGAAAAAAAUGAUUUGAUUUGCGAAAAA